rnacentral:ribozyme from 1 species
AAGGACAAAUAUGAUCACAACACGCUUCAGGAGCUGAUGGUGUCUCACAGGUUGGGGCAGUUUACUCCAUCUACCUACGAUCCCGAGUCGUGGACGGAUGC